CAUUUCCCCCCACCCUCCACCUCCACAAAACUCUUUCCCUUCAAACCAAUACAUACAUACACACAUAAACAUUCCCUCCCUCCCAAUCCCCAUUUCCCUCCCCUCUCUAACAUGCGCCACCUCCUCGUCCCCACCACCGCCGCCACCGCCACCACUAUGCGCUCCUCCUCCUCUUCCUCCUCCUCCCUCAAAACCCCAAAAUCCCCAAACCCUAACAACAACAACAACAACAACAACCAACACUGCUCUUCUCAUCCCCACACCCAUUCUCUCCUCUGCAAACACUCUCCCUCCGCCACGCUCGACCUCCUGAUCCUGAUCCUAGUCCUCUUCUCCGGCUCCUUCCUCCUCUCCUCCUACUUCUCCUACCUCUUCAACUCCCUCUCUCUCCUCCUCUCCCACCACUCCCUCUCCUUCUCCCUCUCCUUCUCUCUCCCUCUCUCCCUCCCUUACUUCCUCUCCUUCCUCCUCUUCUUCGCCCUCUCCGCCACCCUCGCCGACUUCUGCUGCGGCGCCAGAUCUCGCCGCUGCAGCAACCCGUCCUGCAAGGGACUCAAAAAGGCCUUGGAGUUUGAUCUCCAGUUGCAGACUGAGGACUCUCUCAAAUCCAAAUCUUCCAAAGAUUUCAUCGAUCGCUUGCCUUGGAAAGGCGGCACCGAGGCUAAUCCCGACUACGAGUGCCUCCGAUCCGAGCUCAGAAAGAUGGCUCCCCCUAAUGGCCGCGCCGUUUUGCUCUUCCGUGCUCGGUGUGGCUGUCCCGUCGCCAAGCUCGAGGGAUGGGGACCUAAGCGUGGGCGGCGCCAUAAGAAGCCUUUGUUGUUACCCCUGGUGCCUACCUCCACUUCUGUAAAAAGAAAGAAAAGAGGAUAAAAAGGUGAAGUUCAUCAUUGUUGAUGGUGAUCUCCCAAAUUAUGAGGAUAUGGGUCAGUAAUUUGGCAUUUUGGAGCUCUGGCCAAUGUGGCAGUUAAUGGGGGAGGAGAUCAUCGCUGAUUGUUUCUGAUGCAUCAUCAGGGCCUACUUAUAUAUUUACCUUUCUCCUCCUGUCACCUCUCAGACUUUCUAUGAUCUUUCUCAAAGAUUAAUCUCAUUAUUAAAACAAUUUUUUCAAUCCUAUAAUCUGAUAGUACUUCUAUAUGUCUGAACUGAAACAACCUUCCCUGUAUCUGCAUUACCUUGGAUAUUACACUCAUUUAAGGAAGGAUACACAAAAUCAUAUGCCAAUAAACAUAUGACAUGCUAAAUGGAUAUUUAUCUCAGCUUUAAAUAAAUUACUGUAGUUGUUCCGUA